rnacentral:rRNA from 1 species
UGGGGGAAUUUUGGACAAUGGGGGGAAACCCUGAUCCAGCCAUCCCGCGUGUGCGAUGAAGGCCUUCGGGUUGUAAAGCACUUUUGGCAGGAAAGAAACGUCGCGGGUUAAUACCCCGCGAAACUGACGGUACCUGCAGAAUAAGCACCGGCUAACUACGUGCCAGCAGCCGCGGUAAUACGUAGGGUGCAAGCGUUAAUCGGAAUUACUGGGCGUAAAGCGUGCGCAGGCGGUUCGGAAAGAAAGAUGUGAAAUCCCAGAGCUUAACUUUGGAACUGCAUUUUUAACUACCGGGCUAGAGUGUGUCAGAGGGAGGUGGAAUUCCGCGUGUAGCAGUGAAAUGCGUAGAUAUGCGGAGGAACACCGAUGGCGAAGGCAGCCUCCUGGGAUAACACUGACGCUCAUGCACGAAAGCGUGGGGAGCAAACAGGAUUAGAUACCCUGGUAGUCCACGCCCUAAACGAUGUCAACUAGCUGUUGGGGGCCUUUCGGGCCUUGGUAGCGCAGCUAACGCGUGAAGUUGACCGCCUGGGGAGUACGGUCGCAAGAUUAAAACUUAAAUGAAUUGAC